UACGUAGGGUGCGAGCGUUAAUCGGAAUUACUGGGCGUAAAGCGUGCGCAGGCGGUGAUGUAAGACCGAUGUGAAAUCCCCGGGCUUAACCUGGGAACUGCAUUGGUGACUGCAUUGCUCGAGUAUGGCAGAGGGGGGUGGAAUUCCACGUGUAGCAGUGAAAUGCGUAGAGAUGUGGAGGAACACCGAUGGCGAAGGCAGCCCCCUGGGCCAAUACUGACGCUCAUGCACGAAAGCGUGGGGAGCAAACAGG
rnacentral:rRNA from 1 species